AUUGAACGCUGGCGGCAUGCUUUACACAUGCAAGUCGAACGGUAACAGGCCGCAAGGUGCUGACGAGUGGCGCACGGGUGAGUAAUGCAUCGGAACGUGCCCAGUCGUGGGGGAUAACUACUCGAAAGAGUAGCUAAUACCGCAUACGAUCUAUGGAUGAAAGCGGGGGACCGUAAGGCCUCGCGCGAUUGGAGCGGCCGAUGUCAGAUUAGGUAGUUGGUGGGGUAAAGGCUCACCAAGCCAACGAUCUGUAGCUGGUCUGAGAGGACAACCAGCCACACUGGGACUGAGACACGGCCCAGACUCCUACGGGAGGCAGCAGUGGGGAAUUUUGGACAAUGGGCGCAAGCCUGAUCCAGCAAUGCCGCGUGCAGGAAGAAGGCCUUCGGGUUGUAAACUGCUUUUGUACGGAACGAAACGGCUCUGGUUAAUACCCGGGGCUAAUGACGGUACCGUAAGAAUAAGCACCGGCUAACUACGUG
rnacentral:rRNA from 1 species